GGUAACCAGAACACUUCCUAAGGUUUUGCUCCCCUUUCGAAGUGCUUUUGGGGCUUGAUUUUCGAACUCAAGCACAGGGGGCAAUUUCAGUAAUUUCCCUUUUCUGGCAGCCUAGCCCAUUUACAGCUGCUGGAAGAAAAAGACCCCCACAUAAAUUGGCGACUCUGCUGGGGAUUAAGCCACUAUCUUUACCAAUGCCUCCAAGGAGAAGGACCAGAAGCAACAACAUGAUCUCCCAAGAUGGGCCUAGCCAUGGCGAUUCAGAAUCAAGGCACAGCGCCUCAUCCAGAGGAGAGGAACGUGCAAGUGAGGGAGCUUUCACCCUCG
rnacentral:lncRNA from 1 species